ACCCGCUGAACUUAAGCAUAUCAAUAAGCGGAGGAAAAGAAACCAACAGGGAUUGCCCUAGUAACGGCGAGUGAAGCGGCAACAGCUCAAAUUUGAAAUCUGGCCCCGGCCCGAGUUGUAAUUUGCAGAGGAAGCUUCUGGCACGGCACCUUCCGAGUCCCCUGGAAUGGGGCGCCAUAGAGGGUGAGAGCCCCGUAUGGUCGGCUGCCUAGCCUGUGUGAAGCUCCUUCGACGAGUCGAGUAGUUUGGGAAUGCUGCUCAAAAUGGGAGGUAAAUUCCUUCUAAAGCUAAAUAUUGGCCAGAGACCGAUAGCGCACAAGUAGAGUGAUCGAAAGAUGAAAAGCACUUUGAAAAGAGGGUUAAACAGCACGUGAAAUUGUUGAAAGGGAAGCGCUUGUGACCAGACUUGCGCCGGGCUGAUCAUCCGGUGUUCUCACCGGUGCACUCUGCCCGGCUCAGGCCAGCAUCGGUUCUAGCGGGGGGAUAAAGGCCCCGGGAAUGUAGCUCCCUCGGGAGUGUUAUAGCCCGGGGCGUAAUGCCCCCGCCGGGACCGGGGACCGCGCUUCGGCAAGGAUGCUGGCGUAAUGGUCAU
rnacentral:rRNA from 1 species